rnacentral:rRNA from 1 species
AACGAACGCUGGCGGCAUGCCUAACACAUGCAAGUCGAACGAGACCUUCGGGUCUAGUGGCGCACGGGUGCGUAACGCGUGGGAACCUGCCCUUAGGUUCGGAAUAACUCCCCGAAAGGGGUGCUAAUACCGGAUAAUGUCUUCGGACCAAAGAUUUAUCGCCUUUGGAUGGGCCCGCGUUGGAUUAGCUAGUUGGUAGGGUAAAAGCCUACCAAGGCGACGAUCCAUAGCUGGUCUGAGAGGAUGAUCAGCCACACUGGGACUGAGACACGGCCCAGACUCCUACGGGAGGCAGAAGUGGGGAAUAUUGGACAAUGGGCGAAAGCCUGAUCCAGCAAUGCCGCGUGAGUGAUGAAGGCCUUAGGGUUGUAAAGCUCUUUUACCCGGGAUGAUAAUGACAGUACCGGGAGAAUAAGCUCCGGCUACCUCCGU